rnacentral:tRNA from 3 species
GCGCGGGUGGUGGAAUGGCAGACACGAGGGACUUAAAAUCCCUUCCUUGAAUAGGGGGUGAGGGUUCGACUCCCUCCCCGCGCA